rnacentral:lncRNA from 1 species
UUUCCCACGUAUGUAUGCGUACACCGCGGCGUCCGCUAUACGCCGUUGUGUCUGAAGUUAGGCGCCGCACCGGUCAAAUCGAGCACGCAACCACCGAAUAUCGAUGUUCUGCGAUUGUUGCUUUAACAGCGUUGCGAGUUUUUUUAGCCUCCCUCACCUGUUUCCACGUUCUACCGUCGUUUCACGAAUCGCGUGUAAGCCACACGUUCUUACGUGUCUUCCGACUUUACGAGCGUAAUUCUUUUUGUACGCUCGUGCCUUUAUCGAGUGAAACGUUGUUCCGUACGGCUGUCUGUCUUCAAGCGUGUACGUACGCGACACGAGAUGAGUGUAUGACCCUUUUCUCCCUUCCCCUUCCCGCCGUCCCGCAGCCAUUGUUGCCCGUAGAUUCGUUACCCAGAUAUUUUUAUAAUUGUCUCACGAGACAAUCGACCUCUCAUGGGAGCUUUGCAGUCUCAUAAUUAUAUUCGAUACACUGGAUUGAGAUGAUGCAAAAUUUUGUUAUAUUGACGCGGCAACAAAUCUGCCGAAAGUAAACUUAUUAUGCGUCUCUCUGUCUUUCAUAUCAUAUCUUAUGCAAUUUUGAGGAAAUUUUUACCAUCUCUUUCAUAUUUCUGUCAUACUCUGUGUAAAAAAAUACGAAUACUAUGUGAAGUCUGACACAACGGCCGCUUUUACGUAAAGUGUAGGUAGGUAAGAUUGCUGCCAAAUUUUCGCAUGUCUGUCUAUUUAGGUGACUGCUCGAACUCGCGUGAUUGUACCAGGAUACUUCGAACGAUACGCUCGCGAGUGCCAAGAAAUACGUGACUCCUAGUGCACAUAGUAUUUCCCGCCAUUAUUGCAGCAGGUUUAUAGCGGCGGACUUUUCCGCUGAUAAUUCGAGCCAACUUUUCCUUCGCGGAAAUGUUCGGUCACCCGACUGCCUUGAGGAUGACGAGGAUUUGGAACAGCGCGAAGAGGUUCACGGGGAGCCGACAUUUUACAUACCUCGUCUACGGACGGAUCCCUCGCAGAACUGUCUCGGCGGUUCUUCACAAAGUGUCCGCUCGCGUGACCGAAUCUUCGGCUGGGAUCCGAGCCAGGGACGAGAGGGAUAAAAUAGACGCGAGAGGUUUAUUCGAGGAUACGGAGUACUAUUCCCGAACGUUAAGUUGCACAUGCAUUCGCCGUGAAUGCACCCGCUGCGGGCACGCGUGCCAGCUGGAAGAGGUGUAUCGCUCUGUUUAGUUUCACUUCUUUCGCAGAGAUCUAUUUCCCGAUAGACAGGAGAAUCGUGAUAUUCCGAGCCCGAUGGGCGAGAAAUCGGCGAGUGCGCUUACCUGAUCUAACCUCCGCGAUUGUCCGUAUAAAAACGUCCGUAUACGCGCGACGACGGCGUCAGUUGUCCCAUGUGAAGUUGCAUCCUUCCUAAGUAUCAUUCAUGGAAUCGCGAUUGCGAUAUCGCGGUGCAACUUCACAUGGUAAUAAUCUGGUAAAUCUGUGACGUCUGUCGCGAGUGUGACAUGUAACAGCGAUAAUAAUUAACGACUGGACGCGACUUCUUCGACAGAAUGUAUAAUCAAUUCGCUAUAGCCCAGCAUCCACGUGCAGGAUGAAUAAUCCAUGAGACAGCGUGAAGUUGAUUGAGAUGCGACAAAAAUGUAGACAUCUGCGCGAAACAGGUGUAGGUACAUUAGAUCGGCCGGAUGGGACAGACGAAUCGGAGAGAAAGUGCAGCUGAAAAGAACUGACCUCUUCUAUUGCCGGAGCACGCGUAGGUGCACCAAGUUGGUGCGACCACUUGGUGUCCAUUAACAACGACACCGUAUCACGCGUGCAUGUACAAUGCACGCGACACUUUAAACUGCGAUCACGCCACGACGGGCGCGAGAAAAAUGUCGAUUUUAGCGUGCUGCGUCGCAAAUGCGCUCGUGGAUGCUCCGAUGACUCGACGAAUAGUUCAGCGGAAAGAGAGAAAGAGAGAGAUGAUCGAGAAAUCAAUCGAAAUUUCACAAUGUAGACAUCUAUGAGAGAAAAGGAAAAGCGACACUCGAAGAAGAUAAAGUUUACUCUACAAAUUUGUAUUUAAUAGAGUUUUGUCAUCAAUAUAAAUUCUGAUUCAAGUGGUUAAUAACUUAUUUUGCAGUGAAUUCAGGUUCAUCACGUAUAUUAUGUACAUAUAAUAACAGUCAUAACAUAAAUAGCAUCGUUAAGCAUAUCAAUAAAAACUCUAUACAUGUUUACAGAAGAAUCAGUCUUAUUGCAUAUUUUAUAAAGAAUGAGGAAUAUUUUAUAUAAGUAAUAAGUAUAAGUACAUCUUUAUAUAAGUAAUAAGAAUACAUCUCACGCUGUAGUAUCGUUUGGAUAUUAACGCUUCUGUGAAAAGAAGGUAAUAAAAUAGUAUCUUAUGAACAUUGCUAAUAUACAUGGCGAUGCAUCACAUCAUUAAUUUACAAUUCUCUCCUUAAGGCUCCUAUUUCCUCACUUUGGUCACCUUAAAUAAUGUCAAAAGCGAAGAAAUUUAUUUAAAAUACUUUCUGCAAAGCACAUUCAAGCAAAAUACAGCCAUAAAGUGAUAUUUGUGAUUAAUCAGGUUCUUAUAAUAUCGAAAACAUUUUUUAAUAAUAAAAAUAAUCACAAUAAUAAAAUUAGCUCGUUAUAACGACUAACUAACUAUGUGAUUUUGUCAUAUUAAUAACUAGUUAUAGUUACAACUAUAAUUGUUAUCAAUAGCAUUGGAAUAAAAAAAGUUUUUGGGCUAUUGUAUAAAUGUUAUUUUAUGAGUGUUACUUUACUCAAAUUCUUAGUUGCCAUUUUUUUUUCUUUUGAUAUAAUGAAGAUGACGGCGGCGAGGAAACGGGAAUAUUAAGUAUUUCAUCUUAUUAUGUAUGUAUGUAUGUAUGUACACUUGAUUCUUUACAGCUCCUCCAGUCUCAGCCCUGAUUCAACU